rnacentral:rRNA from 1 species
UCAAGCUAUAAAGAGCGCAAGGGGAAUGCCUUGGCAUCAGGAGCCGAAGAAGGACGUGACAAGCUGCGAUAAGCCACGGGGAGGAGCAAAUAUCCGCUAUAUCCGUGGAUUUCCGAAUGGGGGAACCCGCUCAAGCAAUACUUGAGCAUCGUGCGUUGAAUCAAAUAGGCGUACGAAGGGAACGGCCUGAACUGAAACAUCUAAGUAGGGCCAGGAAAAGACAUCAACCGAGAUUCCGCUAGUAGUGGCGAGCGAACGCGGAGGAGGCCAAACCGAGGGACGCAAGUUCUUCGGGGUUGCGGACAGACAUCAAGACCAGAGGUAAUUAAGAGAACGGCGUGGGAAAGCCGGCCACAGAAGGUGAGAGCCCUGUAUCUGAAAAUGAAGACUGGCAGUCUGGAUCCAGAGUACCGCGGGACACGUGAAACCCCGUGGGAAACCGGGUGGACCACCAUCCAAGCCUAAAUACUACCUGAUGACCGAUAGAGGAGCAGUACCGUGAGGGAAAGGUGAAAAGGACCCCGGGAGGGGAGUGAAAGAGAACCUGAAACCUUGUGCUUACAAGCAGUCAAAGCACGUUAACGUGUGAUGACGUACUUUUUGUAGAACGGUCCGGCGAGUUAUAGUAACGAGCAAGCUUAAGGUAUUCAGUACCGGAGGCGAAGCGAAAGCGAGUCUGAAUAGGGCGCAUGAAGUUCGUUGCCAUAGACCCGAAACCGGGUGACCUACGCAUGAGCAGGUUGAAGUGGGGGUGAAACCCCAUGGAGGACCGAACCGACCCCCGUUGCAAUGGUGGCGGAUGACUUGUGUGUAGCGGUGAAAUUCCAAUCGAACUCGGAGAUAGCUGGUUCUCCCCGAAAUAGCUUUAGGGCUAGCGUUAGUUUAGAUUACCGGAGGUAAAGCACUGAAUGGUUUAGGGGCUGAUAAAGUUACCGACGCCUAUCAAACUCUGAAUGCCGGAUAAUUGAUGACUAGCAGUCAGACAGUGUGAGAUAAGUUUCAUUGUCAAAAGGGAAACAGCCCAGACCUACAGCUAAGGUCCCAAAUGUAUGCUAAGUGGAAAACGAUGUGGAAUUGCGAAAACAACCAGGAUGUUGGCUUAGAAGCAGCCACACAUUAAAAGAGUGCGUAAUAGCUCACUGGUCGAGUGACUCUGCGCGGAAAAUGUAACGGGGCUAAGCAUACAACCGAAGCUUAGGAUUGUCUAAAGACAGUGGUAGGGGAGCGUUCUGUAUGGGGUGAAGUCGCAGCGAGAGCAGCGGUGGACUGUACAGAAGUGAGAAUGCCGGAAUGAGUAGCGAGAAUUAUGUGGGAAUCAUAAUGGCCGAAAAUCUAAGGUUUCUUGGGGAAGGUUCGUCCGCCCAAGGUAAGUCGGGAGCUAAGCUCAGGCCGCGAGGCGUAGGCGAUGCACAUACGGUAGAAAUUCCGUAACCACCGAACUUUAAGCAUGAGGGACACUUUGAGAUAGCGGAACCCGGGCGUUGGUUGACCCGGGCGAAAGGGACCGAAAUAUAGUAGGGAAGUCCGCGAUGCUCGGAGGCGAGAAAAGCUCAUGUGUAUACUAAGGUGCCCGUACCGCAAACCGACACAGGUAGAUGAGGAGAGAAUCCUAAGGCCAACGGGAGAAGGGUUGUUAAGGAACUCGGCAAAUUGACCCCGUAACUUCGGAAGAAGGGGAGCCUCGAAAGAGGCCGCAGUGAAUAGGCCCAAGCAACUGUUUACCAAAAACACAGGUCUAUGCUAAAUCGAAAGAUGACGUAUAUGGGCUGACGCCUGCCCGGUGCCGGAAGGUUAAGAGGAGAGCUUAGCGCAAGCGAAGGUUUGAAUUGAAGCCCCGGUAAACGGCGGCCGUAACUAUAACGGUCCUAAGGUAGCGAAAUUCCUUGUCAGGUAAGUUCU